AUUUUGGGUCGGUCGAAUGAGGGGUUUGACGGUGGUUGUGGGGUUUCGGUUUGAUGAUUUAGAGUUGAGAGAAAGAUGUUUGAGAGAGGCGAUGGAAGAGGACGGUGGUUAAGGGCUUUGGAGGUGACGGCGAAACGCGAAUCAGAGGGGGUUUGUGAGAAGCCGAAAGGGGUUAACGCAUGUGGUGAUUUUGGACGGUGGAUUCGCAAGGGUUUGUUGGUGGUGAAGAAGCGGAGGUUUGAGCGGCGGCGAGCUUCACGGU
rnacentral:lncRNA from 1 species